UAAAGUGCGAUAUGUAGUGCGAUUUGCAUGAAUCUGUGAGUCAUCUAAUCUUUGAACGCAACUUGCGCCUCUUUUAGAGGCAUGUCUGUUUGAGUGCCAUAAAACAUGUAUUAAUAUAAGGUGUGUGAAUGCCAAAUAUGAAUACGAAUUUGAUCAUGUCUCUGGACUUGAUUUAAAUAAAUUCAGUCAAUGUCAUGCAUAAUUUUAGCACGAGUGCUAAGCAUUCUUGGGUUAACAAUCGUGUAUGGCACUUUGGAGGUGGUGGCGUAUGGGUAUGUGGGGGUUUCUCCCAUAAAUCUUAUUACCUCACUUUUCUCCCUUUUUAUAUAAAAGGCCUCAAAUCAGUCAAGAUUACCCGCUGAACUUAA
rnacentral:misc_RNA from 1 species